rnacentral:piRNA from 1 species
UCAGCAUUUUGGAACUGGGCAUC